rnacentral:rRNA from 1 species
CCUACGGGAGACAGCAGUGGGGAAUUUUGGACAAUGGGCGCAAGCCUGAUCCAGCUAUUCCGCGUGUGGGAAGACGGCCUUCGGGUUGUAAACCACUUUUGUAGAGAACGAAAAGUCCAUUGAUAAUACCGAUAGACGAUGACGGUACUCUAAGAAUAAGCACCGGCUAACUACGUGCCAGCAGCCGCUGUAAUACGUAGGGUGCGGGAGUUAAUCGGAAUUACUGGGCGUAAAGGGGGUGCAGGUGGCUUUGCAAGAUGGAUGUGAAAGCCCCGGGCCUAACCUGGGAAAGCCAUACAUGACUGGAAGACUUGAGUGCGUGAGAGGGAGGUGGAAUGCGAGGUGUAGCAGUGAAAUGCGUAGAUAUUUCGAAGAACACCGAUGGCGAAGGCAGCCCCCUGGGGCGCAACUGACGCUCAUACACGAAAGCGUGGGGAGCGAACAGGAUUAGAUACCCGAGUAGUC